UAGGGAAUCUUCGGCAAUGGACGAAAGUCUGACCGAGCAACGCCGCGUGAGUGAAGAAGGUUUUCGGAUCGUAAAACUCUGUUGUUAGAGAAGAACAAGGACGUUAGUAACUGAACGUCCCCUGACGGUAUCUAACCAGAAAGCCACGGCUAACUACGUGCCAGCAGCCGCGGUAAUACGUAGGUGGCAAGCGUUGUCCGGAUUUAUUGGGCGUAAAGCGAGCGCAGGCGGAUUCUUAAGUCUGAUGUGAAAGCCCCCGGCUCAACCGGGGAGGGUCAUUGGAAACUGGGAUACUUGAGUGCAGAAGAGGAGAGUGGAAUUCCAUGUGUAGCGGUGAAAUGCGUAGAUAUAUGGAGGAACACCAGUGGCGAAGGCGGCUCUCUGGUCUGUAACUGACGCUGAGGCUCGAAAGCGUGGGGAGCAAACAGG
rnacentral:rRNA from 1 species